UACGUAGGUGGCAAGCGUUAUCCGGAUUUAUUGGGCGUAAAGAGAACGCAGGCGGCCUUUUAAGUCUGAUGUGAAAGCCUUCGGCUUAACCGGAGUAGUGCAUUGGAAACUGGGAGACCUGAGUGCAGAAGAGGAGAGUGGAACUCCAUGUGUAGCGGUGAAAUGCGUAGAUAUAUGGAAGAACACCAGUGGCGAAAGCGGCUCUCUGGUCUGUAACUGACGCUGAGGUUCGGAAGCGUGGGUAGCAAACAGG
rnacentral:rRNA from 1 species